AUUGAACGCUGGCGGCAGGCCUAACACAUGCAAGUCGAACGAGUGGCGGACGGGUGAGUAAUGUCUGGGAAACUGCCUGAUGGAGGGGGAUAACUACUGGAAACGGUAGCUAAUACCGCAUACCAUCAUAUGUGCCGUUAUGGGAGUAGCUAGUUGGUGGGGUAACGGCUAACCAAGGCGACGAUCCCUAGCUGGUCUGAGAGGAUGACCAGCCACACUGGAACUGAGACACGGUCCAGACUCCUACGGGAGGCAGCAGUGGGGAAUAUUGCACAAUGGGCGCAAGCCUGAUGCAGCCAUGCCGCGUGUAUGAAGAAGGCCUUCGGGUUGGAAAGUACUUUCAGCGGGGAUGCGUUACCCGCAGAAGAAGCACCGGCUAACUCCGUGCCAGCAGCCGCGGUAAUAC
rnacentral:rRNA from 1 species